CACAAGAAAAAUCUAGACAGAGAUUUUCAUACCCCAGGUUCUGGAAGAGAAUCCGAGUUCCUGAUCACUUUGGGAGCAAAUGCAAGUGGAUUGCGAGAUUCAAUCUGCUUACGAGUUGCAAGAACAGUAUCUUCAUGAAUAGUUACAGCGUUUGCAUGAUGACUCGGUUUCUCCAGCAUGUUCCAACCUACGCCUGCAAAACCAUUUGGCUUCCAUUAGAUAACAAGGAAAAUGGGGUCUAAGAAGAUGAGAUUCAAAGGAGCGGGAAGGCGGGAUAGUAGAUUUUCUCGUGGGGAUAACCCGGACCCUACCGCUAAG